rnacentral:rRNA from 1 species
GUGAGUCAUCGAAUCUUUGAACGCACCUUGCGCUCCCUGGUAUUCCGGGGAGCAUGCCUGUUUGAGUGUCAUGAAUCUCUCAACCUAUUAGAUUGCAAAAUCGAACUAGUGUUGGAUUUGGAGGCUUGCUGGCCUAGUCAGCUCCUCUUAAAUGCAUUAGCUAUGGAUCGCGCAGUUAUUAGAUCUACGGUGUGAUACAUGUCUUACCAAUGGAUCGAAAACUAUAAUCACCGCUUCGGCAGUGUAUACUUUACUGUAUACCGUGUGAUGAGUGAAUACAAAGCUUCUAAUCGUCUGUAAUGGACAACUACUUUGACAUCUGACCUCAAAUCAGGUAGGACUACCCGCUGAACUUAA